rnacentral:rRNA from 1 species
UACGUAGGGUGCGAGCGUUAAUCGGAAUUACUGGGCGUAAAGCGUGCGCAGGCGGUUUUGUAAGCCAGAUGUGAAAUCCCCGGGCUUAACCUGGGAACUGCAUUUGGGACUGCAAGGCUUGAGUGCGGCAGAGGAGACUGGAAUUCCUGGUGUAGCAGUGAAAUGCGUAGAUAUCAGGAGGAAUACCGAUGGCGAAGGCAGGUCUCUGGGCUGACACUGGCGCUCAUGCACGAAAGCGUGGGGAGCAAACAGG